UGGGGAAUAUUGCACAAUGGGGGAAACCCUGAUGCAGCGACGCCGCGUGAACGAAGAAGGUAUUCGUAUCGUAAAGUUCUGUCCUAUGGGAAGAUAAUGACAGUACCAUAGAAGAAAGCUCCGGCUAAAUACGUGCCAGCAGCCGCGGUAAUACGUAUGGAGCGAGCGUUGUCCGGAAUUAUUGGGAGUAAAGGGUACGCAGGCGGUUUACUAAGUCGAAUGUUGAAGAUCGGGGCUCAACCCCGCAAAGCAUUGGAAACUGAUGAACUUGAGUAGUGUGGAAGAAAGUGGAAUUCCUAGUAUAGUGGUGAAAUACGUAGAUAUUAGGAGGAAGACCAGUAGCGAAGGCGACUUUCUGGACACAAACUGACGCUGAGGUACGAAAGCGUGGGGAGCAAACAGG
rnacentral:rRNA from 1 species